CUAGACGGGCUUCCCCGUGCCCAAGAGUCGCGAUACGCGAGAGAAGCAAAACCGGAGGUCAUGUCCGGGAUUUCGACCACCCUCCCUCCUCUCUUUCGUUCUCUCGCUCCCAAAAUCUCCACCUCGUUCCCUCCCCCACCUUCUCCUCCUAUUCCAUCUCUUCCUUUAUCGCUACACAAAACCCACUCUCGUAGAAUCGUGGCGAUGGCCAUGUCGGGGACUAGAAUCCCGACCGCGUCGCUCGAAUCCAUGGUCGUGAAGCCGCCAUCACACCCUACGUACGAUCUCAAAUCCGUCAUCGCCCUCGCUCUCUCCGAAGACGCCGGUGAUCGAGGGGAUGUAACUUGUUUAGCCACUGUUCCGGUGGACAUGAAAGCAGAAGCCCACUUCAUUGCAAAGGAGGAUGGGGUCAUUGCUGGAAUUUCUCUUGCAGAGAUGAUUUUUAAUGAGGUUGAUCCAUCAUUAAAGGUUGAAUGGUCUCAGAAAGAUGGAAACUAUGUUCACAAAGGCAUGCAGUUUGGCAAAGUAUAUGGAUGUGCAUGCAGCAUUAUUGUGGCAGAAAGGGUUGCCCUCAAUUUUAUGCAAAGAAUGAGUGGAAUAGCAACACUUACCAAGGCUAUGGCAGAUGCUGCACAUCCUGCAUGCAUCUUGGAGACAAGGAAAACUGCUCCAGGCCUACGUUUGGUGGAUAAGUGGGCGGUACUGAUUGGUGGAGGAAAAAACCACAGGAUGGGUCUAUUUGAUAUGGUAAUGAUAAAAGAUAACCAUAUAUCAAUAGCUGGAGGUGUGACAAAUGCUAUGAAAUCAGUAGAUCAAUUCUUGGAGCAAAAGAAUCUUCAAAUGCCUGUCGAGGUUGAGACAAGGACAUUAGAAGAAGUAAAGGAGGUACUGCAAUAUGCAGCUCAAAAUAGGACUUCUCUGACCCGAAUAAUGUUGGACAAUAUGGUCGUCCCUCUUCCAAAUGGGGAUGUGGAUGUUACGAUGCUUAAGGAUGCCGUUACGCUGAUAAAUGGUAGAUUUGAAACUGAGGCAUCUGGAAAUGUCACCCUUGAAACAGUGAAUAAAAUUGGACAAACUGGAGUAGCAUAUAUUUCCAGUGGAGCAUUGACACACUCUGUGAAAGCGCUUGAUAUCUCCCUCAAAAUAGACACAGAGCUUGCCCUCCAAGUUGGAAGACGUACAAACCGAGCUUAAUCAGUUCGAAAGUUCCUUGUUAAACCCUCCUACUGGGUGUGUAUCUUUUCUGCCAUCAGAUUGUACUCAGCUGCUGCUUUUCAAUCAAACCACUACAAUAUCUAUAGACUGCUGUCAGGCGUAUAUCAUAAAUUUGAGAUCCCACGGCAAUCUAAGGUUUCUGCAGUGCAUUGAAGCAGCAAGCUAAAUUAAAAGAAAAGAAGUUCUUCGCUGACUGGAAGAAAUGAAUAACUUUGCUCGAAGAUCAUUUGGCACAUUAUAAUUGUAUGACUCACAAAAUUUCAUAUUUCCAAAAUUUAAUAUAAUUGGGGUAUGUGUUCUACCCUUGUCAAACUUGUGUGCACUUUUGAGAAGGCUUCCUGUAUAAUGAGUUACACUAUAAUGAGUUCCUGUUAUUUGCUAAGAAACUACUUAAUGAUGCA